GAUUAACGCUAGCGGCAGGCCUAAUACAUGCAAGUCGAACGGGAUUUCGGGUAGCAAUAUCUGAAUGAGAGUGGCGCACGGGUGCGUAACACGUAUGCAAUCUGCCUCCGACUGGGGAAUAGCCUUCCGAAAGGAAGAUUAACACCGCAUAAAAUAAUGAAGUGGCAUCACUUUAUUAUCAAAACUCCGGUGGUCAGAGAUGAGCAUGCGUCCGAUUAGCUAGUUGGUGAGGUAACGGCUCACCAAGGCGACGAUCGGUAGGGGGUCUGAGAGGAUGAUCCCCCACACUGGUACUGAGACACGGACCAGGCUCCUACGGGAGGCAGCAGUAAGGAAUAUUGGACAAUGGUCGCAAGACUGAUCCAGCCAUGCCGCGUGAAGGAUGAAUGCCCUAUGGGUUGUAAACUUCUUUUAAACGGGAAAAAACCCCUCUACGUGUAGAGGGCUGAUGGUACCGUAAGAAUAAGGAUCGGCUAACUUCGUGCCAGCAGCCGCCGUAA
rnacentral:rRNA from 1 species